ACCAGGUUUUCCGAAGGAAAAAACUGGUUAUUAGAUUGGCGAAUGCGGGCGGGCUGGCUGGCGGGCGGGCGGAACAAGCUUGUCCGGGCCAUAACUAUGUCGUUCAUUAUCAGAUUUUAAAAUCAUUUGGCACAUUUGUUCACCAUCAUUGGACAGUGUGUCGCGUGAAAUAAUUACGUCGAUAUCUCCAAGGUCAAGGUCACACUUUGAGUUCAAAGGUCAAAAAUGGCCAUAAAUGAGCUUGUCCUGGCCAUAACUAUGUCAUUCAUUGUGAGAUUUUAAAAUCAUUUGGCACAUUUGUUCACCAUCAUGGGACGGUGUGUCGCACGAAAGAAUCACGUCAAUAUCUCCAAUGUCAAGGUCGCCACGACUAAAAAUAUAUAUUU